AAUAAUAGCCCAACCGAAGUUACCCAUGGCAUGGUGCCAGUUUCAUACAUUUAUAAAGUGAGACUGCGGAAGGCUCAGUAAAUCAGUUAUAAUCUAUUCGAAAGUACACCAUUGGAUAACCGUGGGAAAUCUAGAGCUAAUACAUGCGCUAAUGGCAGCGUACAGUAAUGUACGUUGCUGGCAUUUAUUGGACAAAACCAAAUGUUACACAAUCCCUGUGGUUGUGUAAUAGGGUGAAUCUAGAUAACUGAGCAGAUCGCAUGGCGUAAAGCCGGCGACGUUUCGAUUGAAUUUCUGCCCUAUCAACUCGUUGGUAAGGUAGUGGCUUACCAAGGUUGCAACGGGUAACGGGGGAUCAGGGUUCGAUUCCGGAGAGGGAGCCUGAGAAACGGCUACCACAUCCAAGGAAGGCAGCAGGCGCGUAAAUUACCCAAUCCAGACAAUGGGAGGUGGUGACCAGAAGUACUGAGUGGUCGUCAUAGACGACUAAUCUUGGAAUGAGCAUAAAGUAAAAAUGUAGUCGAGUAUCAACUGGAGGGCAAGUCUGGUGCCAGCAGCCGCGGUAAUUCCAGCUCCAGUGGCGUGUCGUAAAGUUGAUGCGUUUAAAACGCUCGUAGUUGGAUCAUGUCGUCUUGUCUACCUAUUACAUGCACAUUUAGACGUUGAAUCCAUCUCUGCAGUCUGCUGGUAUCUGCUAGUGGACACGGUAGUGUGUGGAGUUUAAAUGUGUAUGAGGGUAGAAAUGAGACUAGUUGCGUGUAAGAAUGAUGAUUGGCCUUAAGUGUGUCGGUCAGCGUGUCUUACAGGGUGUGCCUUGAAUAAAUCAGAGUGCUUAAAGCAGGCUUGUGCUUGAAUGAUACAGCAUGGAACGAACAAACGUGAGAAGUGUAUAUAUGAGAACCGAUUUAGGUAUUUGUAUAAACAUAACACCAACCACUAUGUACGGAUGUUGGUUUCCGUAUUAGGGUGAUGAUUAAAACGAGCGGUUGGGGGCAUUGGUAUUUGGCCGCGAGAGGUGAAAUUCUUAGACCGGCCAAGGACUAACAAAAGCGAAGGCAUUUGCCAAGACCGUAUCGAAUAAUCAAAGAACGAAAGAAAAAAGGUUCAAAGACGGAUCAGAUACCGUCCAAAUUCUCUCUGUAAAACUAUGCCAACCAGAGAUCAGUCUAGAGUUAUUAAUUACGCUCUAGGUGGUCCCCCUGGGAAACCUGAAGUGUUUGGGUUACGGGGGGAGUAUGGUCGCAAGGCUGAAACUUAAAAGAAAUUGACGGAAGGGCACCACCAGGGGUGGAGCCUGCGGCUUAAUUUGACUCAACACGGGAAAACUCACCGGUUCCGGACGUCAAAAGGAUAGACAGACUGAUAGAUCUUUCUUGAUAUGAUGUGUGGUGGUGCAUGGCCGUUCUUAGUUCGUGAAGUGAUUUGUCGGGUCAAUUCCGGUAACGGACGAGACCAAAGCCUCCGUUUACGCUGCGAAAUAGCAACGUCAUCGCGUAUGCUCUAGUUAUGGGUUCCAACUGCUGGUGUUCGCACUGGUGGGGGGUUUCUAUGACUUUUCUUUCGUAAUGUCGUGUGUGGCAACACAUGCGUCUGCAUGGAGGGACAACUGACUUAAAUCAGAGGAAGUUUGGCAAUAACAGGUCUGUGAUGCCCUUAGACGUACCGGGCUGCACGCGCGCUACAAUGACAGCGACAACGAGUUAUCUGCUCCGAAAGGAGUGGGGAAUCUGUUAAUCGCUAGUCGUGAUGGGGACCGUCCAUUGUAAGUUGGACGCGAAAUAGGAAUCCCUUGUACGUGCACUUCACUUAGAGUGCGCGGAAUGAGUCCCUGCCCUUUGUACACACCGCCCGUCGCUACUACCGAGUGAAUGGUGUCAUGAUGCGUUGGGACCGGAACGUGCGUUCAGUGUAACUACUUGAAUGGGUGCUGGGCAUCAAAGUACAACGGCGCAAAUUAAGGAUAGUUUUG
rnacentral:rRNA from 1 species